rnacentral:rRNA from 1 species
UACGUAGGGUGCAAGCGUUAAUCGGAAUUACUGGGCGUAAAGCGUGCGCAGGCGGUUUGGUAAGACAGAUGUGAAGUCCCCGGGCUUAACCUGGGAACUGCAUUUGUGACUGCCCGGCUAGAGUGUGUCAGAGGGGGGUAGAAUUCCACGUGUAGCAGUGAAAUGCGUAGAUAUGUGGAGGAAUACCGAUGGCGAAGGCAGCCCCCUGGGAUAACACUGACGCUCAUGCACGAAAGCGUGGGGAGCAAACAGG